rnacentral:misc_RNA from 1 species
GGGCCGCAGAUGCGUCGCGCUAGUGCGGCGCCGAACGUCGUUCGAACGUGGCGUGCGAAGCCAAUUUUGUGGGCAAAGAGGGGUCAGGGACCCCGUGCCCGUAGCGUUUUCCGCAUCCCGGGGGUCGAGCGGGAACCCAUGGGCCGCGACGACGACGCCGUGUGCGGGCGUCGCGGAACACGGGUCUCGUUUCGGGGUUCGACCGUAGCCGCACCGUGCGAACGGGCAGCGCUAGGCGAACGUGGGAAGGAUCGGCACACAAUUCCGUCUACGUAGGUAUGCAACACAGGAAACCGACGGUCGCGGCCAAGGCAACUCGCCCUUGUGCCAGCGACUGAAAAGGAUUGCACAGCAGGACGUCGCUGUCCGAGCAGGGAUCCAACAAGCCCCAUACAAGA